rnacentral:rRNA from 1 species
UAGGGAAUCUUCGGCAAUGGGGGCAACCCUGACCGAGCAACGCCGCGUGAGUGAAGAAGGUUUUCGGAUCGUAAAGCUCUGUUGUAAGAGAAGAACGUGUGUGAGAGUGGAAAGUUCACACAGUGACGGUAACUUACCAGAAAGGGACGGCUAACUACGUGCCAGCAGCCGCGGUAAUACGUAGGUCCCGAGCGUUGUCCGGAUCUAUUGGGCGUAAAGCGAGCGCAGGCGGUUUAAUAAGUCUGAAGUUAAAGGCAGUGGCUUAACCAUUGUUCGCUUUGGAAACUGUUAAACUUGAGUGCAGAAGGGGAGAGUGGAAUUCCAUGUGUAGCGGUGAAAUGCGUAGAUAUAUGGAGGAACACCGGUGGCGAAAGCGGCUCUCUGGUCUGUAACUGACGCUGAGGCUCGAAAGCGUGGGGAGCAAACAGG